rnacentral:sRNA from 1 species
GCUCCGGACCGGGGUUCGAAUCCCGCCA